AGUGAACGCUGGCGGCGUGCCUAAUACAUGCAAGUCGAACGGAGUGGCGCACGGGUGAGUAAUAUAUAGCUAAUCUGCCCAUUGCUGGAGGAAAACAGUUAGAAAUGACUGCUAAUACUCCAUAGCAAGGGAUGAGACUAUAUCGUAUCAGCUAGUCGGUGGGGUAACGGCCUACCGAGGCUAUGACGCGUAACUGGUCUGAGAGGAUGAUCAGGCACAUUGGAACUGAGACACGGUCCAAAAUACUGCGGGAGGCAGCAGUAGGGAAUAUGGCGCAAUGGGGGAAACCCUGAAGCAGCAACGACGAGUGGAGGAUGAUAAUUUUCGGAGCGUAAACUCAUGUUGUUAGGGAAGCGGUACCUAAAGAAUAAGCACCGGCUAACUCCGUGCCAGCAGCCGCGGUAAUAC
rnacentral:rRNA from 1 species